ACUCCCCAAAAGGAAAUAAUUGCAGAGGAGAGAGGGAAGAGAAAGCAAAUAAUCAGAGAAUUAUUGCCUCCUUAGAAAUCUAAAUUUAAAAAAUAACUAAAUUUUAUGGAUAUUAAACAGCAAAAGUACUAAGGGUCGUCCAUUCACUUUGAUGACCCAUUUGAUUAGUGAGAGAAAUGGAGGAAACGAAAAGAAUGUGAAUCCCAUUUGAAAUAUUUAUAGCACUUUGAUUUACACUUUCAAAAACCCAAAACAAAUCAUGCACAUAAACAAGGUCAGUAUAAAAACCAUUUGUAGGUUGAGAGCUUGAACUAACAUCUUAAGCCAUGCCAUUUGAUAACCAAAAACAAAAAGAAGGCCCCCGUCAAAAUACACUUCCAUUCACUCCCCUCCCCCCA
rnacentral:misc_RNA from 1 species